AUGACCCAUAAUUUCUUAAAUAACCAGUUAACAUUUUGUUGUACUUCCUUUUUUUUUCCUUUUCUCUAUGUGGAGGUCUCCUUUUUCCCUGAAAUAGAGUGGCUAUGGUCAUGUUGGGUACAGAGUAGAAGAGAGACUUCUUGGCUCCCAAACUGCCAGCACUUUAAUCACUUCCUUUUGAAAAAAGAUUCCUUCUAUUCCGUGGUGUUAUCUUCAGAGCAAUCAGGAUUUAAAACAAAAAGUCCUACAUGAAGCCAAUAGAAGACUCUGCUUUUUUUUUUUUCAUGAGCCAAAUCAAAUGUUCUGGUCUUUUCCACUGAAACUUUCUUUUGGCAUAACCUUAUUAUUAUAUUAUUAAUCCCUGAUCACGGCAAUUCACUUCUAAAUUGAUUUACAUUGCUUAUGAAGUGAAACAUCAUCUACUACUCAGUUUAAUUACUGAAUUCUGACUGCUUACAUAAAUAAACAACUCUCUGCGUGUGACAGUCUGGGCACUGCUGACCUCAGAUUGGUCAAAUUCACUUGUGGUCCCAGUGGUGAUCAACGAUGUGCAUGUGUGGGACUUCUACUUGUAAUAAUGCUCUGGAGCAACAAAGUAAUGUUGCACAGUUUCAUAUUUUACGAAGUACAUAAUUGCUUCUGUUUGUCCUGGAUAUAUAUCUAACAAGGUCUAUUUCAAUACAUUCUGAAAAUUAUCUUCCAAUAAAAUGGUUGAAAAUAUGAAUCAUUUAUAUUUUAUGGUUUACACAAAGACAUUUGUGUAAAUGAAAUGUGUAACAGUUUGGCCUCUUUCUGUUGCCAGUGAUGGAAGACUCAAAACUAGUUUAACAGAGGAGAAUUUAUUGGCCUCUACAACUGAAAAAUCCAGAGUUUUCAGCUGAAGCAGAAUUUGAGGGUCAACCAGUGCUUUUGGAAUUCAGCUUCCCUCUGUGUCCACUUCUGAGCUCUACUCUCUACUGUAUUGGCUCCAGGCUGAGGCUGAGGCUCCACACAGUGUCCUCUUGGAAGCUCUAGAUUCCCUCAUAUAUCUAAAUCCAACAAAAGAGACAGUCUUCCCCCACAAAAAAUCUCAAAGAGAAGUUCCAGAACUUACAGUUGUUGGUAAUGAUUGGCCUCAACCAAUUAUUGUGACCAAGGAAUAAAAAUACACAGAUUGGCUUAGAAUAGUCAUAUUCUCAACCCUGCAUUCAAUGGAAUUUAAUUCUCCCCACCUAAGGAAAAUCCUAACUAUGUGUACAUUGUAUAUUCUUAUCUCAAAAGGGAGGUGUGGGUGGCGGGAUAUGAAACUACAAGCCAUCAGAAAGUGAGGCCAUGUACCAUUCUUGUGUUUGGUCUUCAAGGAACUUAUGGUGGCCUAGCUGAGACUUUUACUACUUACUCUCUUCUCACAUUUGGGUUCCUCGAAGUAACCAAGUUGCUCUUUGGUAGGGCUUCUUUGCCUUUCUUUCUGGCGCUAUUCCAGUUCCAUCUGAGCACUGCUUUUUUCUCUGAGCUCAAUUUUUGCGAGCUAAAGUUCAUGAUUUUGUACAAGAAACUGUUAAAUCCAUUGGCUGUUUUUUUUUUUUUUUAAGAUUUUAUUUAUUUAUUCACGAGAGACACAGAGAGAGAGAGAGGCCGAGACACAGGCAGAGGGAGAAGCAGGCUCCAUGCAGGGAGCCCGACGUGGGACUCAAUCCCAGGUCUCCAGGAUCACGCCCUGGGCUGAAGGCGGUGCUAAACCAUUGAGUCCCCCGGGCUGCCCAGCUGUUUGUUUUUUGGUUUUUGGUUUUUGGUUUUUUAAGCUAAUUUCAUUAGCCUCACACUAUGAUUUAUGGCUUAAGCCAAAAAUGGCUAAGGAGAGAAGGAAUAUUCUGCUUGAUAAGUUUCUGAGGCAGCUAAUUAUUGAUAAAUAGAAAAUAACUAGCUUAGAAGCGCCUGGGUGGCUCAGUCAUUAAGCAUCUACCCUUGGCUCAGGUCAUGAUCCCAGGACUCUGGGAUUGAGCCUGAGUCAGGUUCCCUGCUCAGAGGGGAGUUGUCUUCCCCUCUCCCUCUCCACCUCCCCCUGGCUCGUGCUUUCUUGCUUUGCUCUGUCUCUCAAGUAAAUAAACAACAUCUUAAAAAAAAAAAAAAGACCUAGCCUAAGCAGGGAGAGUACAUUGGAGUCAUCUAAUACGAUGUGUAGACCUCGGUUUUAUUUCUGAAUAUGGUUGAAUUUGUUCUGGUGUAUUUAGAGGUUUUAGGAUGCUGCUGGAUGAUCUCUCUUGAGACCAGUAUUCUGAAGAAGGGUUGGUUUCAUUUUUAGAUUUUAUUUUUUUUAUUUAUUAAUGAUCUAUUUAUAGAUCUAUAUAUAGAUCUCUAUAUAUAUACUGAGAUUGAGAGAGAGAGGCAGAGACAGGCAGAGGGAGAAGCAGGCUCCACUCAAGGAGCGGGACGCAGGACUCAAUCCCGGUUCUCCAGGAUCAUGCCCUGGGCCCAAGGCAGGCGCCAAAUUGUGAGCCACCCAGGGAUCCCCCUGGUUUCAUUUUUAGAGAAUAGUGGAUAUACAAGGGCAUUUCCAAAUCUGGAAAUAUAAAAUUGCCCACCCAGAAAUUUGCUGAGCUUCUAAUUUGGCUGUUAAUCAAACAAUCUAAAAAUAAGGGUUGCUUUAAAUAAAAGACUAAAAUAAAUCACUCAAGAGUCAGUCUCAAAUCUGAUUUUGUAUAGUAGGCUAAUUAUAACACCAAAUCACUUAUUUAUUCCUCCUUAAAUCUACCAUGAUUGCAUGUGUUUUUGCACCUAACUAGUAUAAACCCUCCUCCUUUUAAGUUAGGUGAGGAAAUACACAUCUUUCUUUUUGCCUAUUAAGAGAGCAUAUUUUCUUAAAAUCUUUUGCCAAGAAUUCAAAGAGUCCAAAGAAAAAGCUAUAAUAAUGUGAGCCAACUGGAAGGUGUUGAGAAAAAGCAAUGAACUUGGAGCAAAAAAAACCCUGGAGUUUAAAUAAGUCCAACCAUUACUGUGUUGCCUUAACCAAUUUGCCUAACUUCUCUGAACUUCAAUUUCUGAAGAAAACAGAGAACAAGUUAAAGGGGAUUCAAAGCUACAUAGUAAUUAGACCCUCCUUAGAGCUGGAAGAAGUCAGGUGGCCUUUAUAAACAUUCUCUAAAUAUUUAAACCAUUGUGGAUAGAUGGACUCUUUAAAAUUAUAACAAUAAUACCUUCAAUUUAUAUAAUUUUGUCCUAGAAGAACUUGUGUAAAAAAGGAAUAAUUUAUUCUAAAAUAAUUUAAAGGACUAGAAUAAAUGACACCUAUUAAUAUCUGCCAGUGUUUUGUCAUAAUGUUAUGAUGAUAAGCAUUCUAAGAACUGAAUAUAAGCCAUGAACUGAUGAGAUCAUAGGUUCUCAUAGGGACAAAUCCACAUCUAAUUUGGAUCCCAUCCAGAACUGAUGAGCCUUCUUGCCCAGCCUUAACUUGGAGACAGAGAAAAGAAUGUGAUGGGCUUGGGAGGAAAAAGCAUUCAAAAGCCACCUUGAGAUGUUUUGCAUUCCAGGUCCCACACUCAGCAUUUUAAAAUUAGCUUUUUUAUUUUAAAGAAAGUGAGAGUUUUUCUGGCUCCAUUGUAUGCUCCAUAUACUUCUUGACAUUGUGCUUCUUGCAUGCUGUUGCUCAUAUAAAAGAAAAUAAUAUUUGAUAAGUAUUAAUUUUCCAAAAGAUAAUUUUUUUUACCUAGGCAAAUUUGUUUAAAUUUUUAAAAUUUUACCUAGUCAGAUUUAAUCCAAGCCAAUCUAAACUUCAAACCCAAAUCAAACAAAAAGGAGGAAGGGAAAAAACCCCGAAAAAUCUUUCUUUUAAGCUAGCUUUCUUUUCAUUGAAAAAUUAAGUUCUGGGCAGCCGGGGUGCCUCAGUAGUUUAGCGCCGCCUUCAGCCCAGGGCCUGAUCCUGGAGUCCCAGGAUCGAGUCCCACAUCAGGCUCCCUGCAUGGAGCCUGCUUCUCCCUCUGCCUGUGUCUCUGCCUCUCCUCUCUCUCUCUCUCUCUCUCUCUCUCUCUAUGAUGAAUAAAUAAAUAAAAUCUUUAAAAAAAAAAAGAAAGAAAAAUUAAGUUCUGAUUUUGUUGGAAACCUUUCCAUACAACUUUUUUUUAAUAUAAUUUUAUCUUCUCAUGAUGAUCCAGGUUGGAAU
rnacentral:lncRNA from 1 species